rnacentral:rRNA from 1 species
GAUGAACGCUGGCGGCGUGCUUAACACAUGCAAGUCGAACGGAAAGGCUCCUGCUUGCAGGGGUACUCGAGUGGCGAACGGGUGAGUAACACGUGGGUGAUCUGCCCCGCACUUCGGGAUAAGCCUGGGAAACUGGGUCUAAUACCGGAUAAGACAGUGGUUUGGAUGCCAUUGUGGAAAGUUUUUUCGGUGUGGGAUGAGCUCGCGGCCUAUUAGCUUGGUGGUGGGGUAAUGGCCUACCAAGGCGUCGACGGGUAGCCGGCCUGAGAGGGUGUACGGCGACACUGGGACUGCGAUACGGCCCAGAAGCAGACGGGAGGAAGGAGUGGGGAAUAUUGGACAAAGGGAGCCAGCCUGAUGCAACGACGCCGCGUGGGGGAUGACGGACUUCGGGUUGGAAGCUAAGUUCGCUAGGGACGAAGCGUUAUGUGAAGGUACCUAGAGAAGAAGCACCGGCUAACUACGUG